CAAAAAAUUAUAAUAUAGAAACAAGAACUCUUUUACAUACUUAACAUUGGAAAUUUUAGAAGAGAAUCUUGGAAGUGGGUGGUUUACAAACUGGAUGAGAGAGAAAAUCUGUCAGCUAUCCCAACAAAAGGCAAAAUUCAAGCAACCACCCAGAGCCUGCAAAUCUUUAACCAAUUCACAUUGAAACGGCAGGAGCCACAAGCCAGNNNNNNNNNNNNAAAGGUUCCUAUGCUACAAGCAAAGCAAACAAAUCAUGGGAAUGAUAGCCAUUAGUGCAGAUUUUAGAGCAGUAGGAGAGGCUGUCCUGUGUGAGUCCCCCAUGGCUAGACCAGCCAACCAUGAUCCAUCUGCUAGCAUGGUUUCUCCAGAACCAGAACCAGAUCCGGAUCCAGAUAACGACACAGAACCAGAAUCUGCACCUGAACCCGAAUACUCUAGCCCUGAUCCUGACCCUGACACUUCCCCUGGGGUGGUUGUUUCUGCUGUCAUUGGUGUUGAAUAGCUUGAAUAGCUUGAAGAUUUCUGACUUGGGGAAGACGGGCAAAACGACACCGUAUAAUCGGCGCCGGUGCAUGUGAAAGUACUGGUGGCAUCAUCAUAUGCGUAGCUAUACGAUUUAGGACAGGCAGCUUUAAACAUCUCCGAGUAAACUGACGGCUUACAUGUAGUGGGUGUGUUAAACGCGCCGCUGCAACAGUACUCGGGGCUCCCAAAGGCCUCGCACGCGCUCUUGCACGCAUCACCGUCACCCAUCCUUAGCUCUGCUGGGCACUGUCUGUUCAGAUCCGUGAAGCAACCCGUCGAAGCGCACAUACCCGACCCGCCACUCCCUUCAACUACCAUAGGGAGGUUGUAGCCGUCCACAAGACUGACAUCAUAGAAGUCCUGCCCACCCGUCCCAAGUGUGAACUCAGCCAGGGUAGCAGGCGGGGCGGCUCCAAGUCCGUUGCAUUCAACUUGGCCCGAACCACAGUCUCCAGUAAUACAGGAUCCGGAUCCAGAGUCGUCAAAAUUGCAGCCAGUUCGGGCCCAGAAGCGGCC
rnacentral:misc_RNA from 1 species